UGUUAUGGAAACAGAAGCUGCCCUUGUGGUAUUUUGUUAAUGCUUAUUGUUUUAGACACAGACAUGUGUUCUAGGAUUAUCGAGUUAUUUACAGGAAAAACAGAGUGCAUGGAGAGAUGAGAGAGAGAAAAAAAAUGAUAUUAGGACUUCUUUCUUGUUAUAAAUGUGCAAAAUAAAUAAUCUGGUGUAAAGCAGAGAGAGUAAGCCCUGAGCCAGUACUGGGGAACUUCCUGGAGAAGCUGUGCUUGGGUCAGACCUUCUAGGAGCAGGACUUAUGGUCUGAAACAUCUGGACUUUUAAAGAAGGGACCAAGCGUCAAGAAUAUCUGAUGAAUAUUUGGCAGACAGCCAGAAAUUGACAAGCAUGCAGGUCUGCUGGGAAGGCAUCAUGCCAACCUUCCACCAUCAAUGAGCAUGUUCAGCAGAUUAAGAAGUAGGAGAAACUGACUAUUGAGCUCAAGAAGAAAACCUAAAAGCAGAAGCUGUGUUUGAAUAACAGACGAGAUAUGGCAAGCAGUGUGUGAGCUCUCAUCCUGGAUUUUAAUAGAGAGAGAUGCAUUUUCUGUCCUCAGAGGAACACAGAAAGUUGGUCAGCUACAGAAGCACAGUAACUUAAACUUAGA